rnacentral:lncRNA from 1 species
AUUCUGUUGAAAUGAAUCAGAAAUUGUAAUGGGGACGCUGGCUCAAGGCCAGAGGGAAAUAUGCUGAUGCAAUCUGUCUGGAUGCUGGAGACAGAGACCUAGUGGAUGCCUUUAUCUUGUCCAAAAAUGAAACCGAUAACUAGUUUGAGAAGAGCACUUCCGUUCUGGUUAUGCUUUGAAGAAAAGACUCCAGCGAUCACCACUAAGAGCAGAGCCAGAGGCGAGUUAAUGAGAAUAUUCUGGAAAGAGGGGCCUAAACAGAAAUAAGAAGCCAAAGAAGUUGCACUCCACUCAUGACCUAGUCAAGAGAGAGGGAAGCUAUGGAAGAAUGAGCCAGAAGCCUUGGAAGAAGCAGAAAAAAUGUGAAC